GGAUAGCUCAGUCAGCAGAGCAUGAGACUCUUAAUCUCAGGGUUGUGGGUUCAAGCCCCAUGUUGGGCA